UACAGAGGGUGCAAACGUUGUUCGGAAUUACUGGGCGUAAAGCGCGUGUAGGCGGCCUAGUGUGUCGGGCGUGAAAUCCCACGGCUCAACCCGUGGAAGUGCACUCGAAACUGCAAGGCUGGAGUACUGGAGAGGAUGGUAGAAUGCUCGGUGUAGAGGUGAAAUUCGUAGAUAUCGAGCGGAAUACCGGUGGCGAAGGCGGCCAUCUGGACAGUCACUGACGCUGAGACGCGAAAGCGUGGGGAGCAAACAGG
rnacentral:rRNA from 1 species